rnacentral:rRNA from 1 species
AUUGAACGCUGGCGGCAGGCUUAACACAUGCAAGUCGAGCGGAGAGAGGUAGCUUGCUACUGAUCUUAGCGGCGGACGGGUGAGUAAUGCUUAGGAAUCUGCCUAUUAGUGGGGGACAACAUUUCGAAAGGAAUGCUAAUACCGCAUACGUCCUACGGGAGAAAGCAGGGGAUCUUCGGACCUUGCGCUAAUAGAUGAGCCUAAGUCGGCUUAGCUAGUUGGUGGGGUAAAGGCCUACCAAGGCGACGAUCUGUAGCGGGUCUGAGAGGAUGAUCCGCCACACUGGGAAUGAGACACGGCCCAGACUCCUACGGGAGGCAGCAGUGGGGAAUAUUGGACAAUGGGCGGAAGCCUGAUCCAGCCAUGCCGCGUGUGUGAAGAAGGCCUUAUGGUUGUAAAGCACUUUAAGCGAGGAGGAGGCUACUUUAGUUAAUACCUAGAGAUAGUGGACGUUACUCGCAGAAUAAGCACCUGCUAACUCUGUGCCAGCCGCCGCCGUAA